rnacentral:rRNA from 1 species
GAUGAACGCUGGCGGCGUGCCUAAUACAUGCAAGUCGAACGAAACUUCUUUAUCACCGAGUGCUUGCACUCACCGAUAAAGAGUUGAGUGGCGAACGGGUGAGUAACACGUGGGCAACCUGCCCAAAAGAGGGGGAUAACACUUGGAAACAGGUGCUAAUACCGCAUAACCAUAGUUACCGCAUGGUAACUAUGUAAAAGGUGGCUAUACUACCGCUUUUGGAUGGGCCCGCGGCGCAUUAGCUAGUUGGCAGGGUAAAGGCUUACCAAGGCAACGAUGCGGAGCAGAACUGAGAGGGUGAGAAGCAACACUGGAAAUGAGACACGGGCCAGAAUACGACGGGAGGAAGAAGUAGGGAAGAUGGAGAAAGGGGCGAAAGUCUGAAGGAGCAAGGCCGAGUGAGUGAAGAAGGUCUGCGGAUUGUAAAACACUGUAAGUAGGGAAGAAGGGAAGUGAACGAAAAUAUGGAUGUCUUGACGGUACCUAAACAAAAAGCCACGGCUAACUUCGUG